UGAACGCUGGCGGCGUGCCUAACACAUGCAAGUCGAACGGAGAAUUACGCUGAUGAAGCUUCGGCAGAUUCUGUAAAUCUAGUGGCGGACGGGUGAGUAACGCGUGGGCAACCUGCCUCAUACUGGGGGAUAACAGCUGGAAACGACUGUUAAUACCGCAUAAGCGCACGGUAUCGCAUGAUACAGUGUGAAAAACUCCGGUGGUAUGAGAUGGGCCCGCGUCAGAUUAGCCAGUUGGCAGGGUAACGGCCUACCAAAGCGACGAUCUGUAGCCGGCCUGAGAGGGCGGACGGCCACAUUGGGACUGAGACACGGCCCAAACUCCUACGGGAGGCAGCAGUGGGGGAUAUUGCACAAUGGAGGAAACUCUGAUGCAGCGACGCCGCGUGAAGUGAAGAAGUAUUUCGGUAUGUAAAGCUCUAUCAGCAGGGAAGAAAGACUCGUAAGAGAGAUGACGGUACCUGACUAAGAAGCCCCGGCUAACUACGUGCCAGCCGCUGC
rnacentral:rRNA from 1 species